rnacentral:rRNA from 1 species
CAGCCGCCGCGGUAAUACCGGCGGCCCGAGUGGCGGUCACUAUUAUUGGGCUUAAAGCGUCCGUAGCCGGGUUGGGAAGUCCUCCGGGAAAUCUGGCCGCUUAACGGUCAGAAUGCCGGAGGAUACUCCCAGCCUAGGGAGCGGGAGAGGCCGGGGGUAUUCCCGGAGUAGGGGUGAAAUCCUAUAAUCCCGGGAGGACCACCUGUGGCGAAGGCGCUCGGCUGGGACGCGUCCGACGGUGAGGGACGAAGGCCAGGGGAGCAAACCGGAUUAGAUACCCGGGUAGUCCUGGCUGUAAACGAUGCGGACUUUGUGUCGGACAAGCUAUGAGCUUGUCCGGUGCCGGAGGGAAACCGUUAAGUCCGCCGCCUGGGGAGUACGGCCGCAAGGCUGAAACUUAAAGGAAUUGGCGGG